GUGCUUGCUUCAGCAGCACAUAUGCUAAAAUUGGAACGAUACAGAGAAGAUUAGCAUGACCCCUGCGCAAGGAUGGCAUGCACAUUUGUGAAGCGUUCCAUACAUAU
ensembl:snRNA U6 U6 spliceosomal RNA